AUUCACCAAUAUGGGAGUCUAUACAGUCACAAAACCAACAUUUACCAUAAGUUCAUAUCAUUACACGAAUUAAACUUAACAUUCCAAAAUCCUAGACAUCAAAAGGAGUCUUUUAAACUUAUACAAAAUCCACAAGGUUAGAUUCAUCGUCAACAUUUCAUUAGAUGCAGAGUGUACUUAUACAACAAAAACAUAUAUACUAUUAAAGAUCGGCCCAAAGUCUUUUAGCUCUCCACUGCCUCAGCCCAAUCUUAGUCAUUUAAGCGAGCGACAGGCUAUCCUGAAAAAUUUAUACAGCAACGGGGUGAGCAUAUAGAGCUCAGCAAGUGACUAACAUAUCCAUGGUAAAAGAGGGAAAUUUCCAAACAAAUAAGGUUUCAUAAUGAAAGGCAGAAUAUAAGAAUCCAUAAACCAAAUCUCAUUAGGUGUAGAAUCACACAUAUCAUUUCAAUCGACAUUUUUUGUUCUUAACGGACAGAUCAUAGAGUAAUUGGAGCAUAUCAAUAGAGUAUAAAAUGUUCCGGAGCAUAUCAACGGCAUAUGGAACAUUUCGGAGCAUGCCAAUAACAGAUGAAAUCUUUCGGAGCAUAUCAACAACGAAUGAAACGUUUCAGAGUAUAACAACAACAAAUGAAACGUUUCGGAGCUUAUCAGUGGCGUAUAAAAUGUUCCGAAGCAUAUCAACGGCGUAUGGAACAUUUCGGAGCAUAUCAAUAGCAAAUACCAAACAGAAGCUCAAACGUCGUAUUUGAC
rnacentral:lncRNA from 1 species